GCAGUAGCCACGGUAAUACGUAGGGUGCAAGCGAUAAUCGGAAUUACUGGGCGUAAAGCGUGCGCAGGCGGUUUGUUAAGACAGAUGUGAAAUCCCCGGGCUCAACCUGGGAACUGCAUUCGUGACUGGCAAGCUAGAGUAUGGCAGAGGGGGGUGGAAUUCCGCGUGUAGCAGUGAAAUGCGUAGAUAUGCGGAGGAGCACCGAUGGCGAAGGCAGCCCCCUGGGCCAAUACUGACGCUCAUGCACGAAAGCGUGGGGAGCAAACAGGAUUAGAUACCCGUGUAGUCCCUGUCUCUUAUAC
rnacentral:rRNA from 1 species